rnacentral:tRNA from 1 species
CGGUGAUUGGCGCAGCCUGGUAGCGCACUUCGUUCGGGACGAAGGGGUCGAGGUUCGAAUCCUCUAUCCCCGACCA